rnacentral:rRNA from 1 species
ACGCUCGACACCUACGGGGGCAGCAGUGGGGAAUAUUGCACAAUGGAGGAAACUCUGAUGCAGCGACGCCGCGUGGAGGAAGAAGGUCUUCGGAUUGUAAACUCCUGUUGUUGAGGACGAUAAUGACGGUACUCAACAAGGAAGUGACGGCUAACUACGUGCCAGCAGCCGCGGUAAUCUGAGCGGGCUGGCAAGGC